UACGAAGGGGGCUAGCGUUGCUCGGAAUCACUGGGCGUAAAGGGUGCGUAGGCGGGUCUUUAAGUCAGGGGUGAAAUCCUGGAGCUCAACUCCAGAACUGCCUUUGAUACUGAAGAUCUUGAGUUCGGGAGAGGUGAGUGGAACUGCGAGUGUAGAGGUGAAAUUCGUAGAUAUUCGCAAGAACACCAGUGGCGAAGGCGGCUCACUGGCCCGAUACUGACGCUGAGGCACGAAAGCGUGGGGAGCAAAAGGG
rnacentral:rRNA from 1 species